ACCCGCUGAACUUAAGCAUAUCAAUAAGCGGAGGAAAAGAAACCAACAGGGAUUGCCCUAGUAACGGCGAGUGAAGCGGCAACAGCUCAAAUUUGAAAUCUGGCUCUUUUAGGGUCCGAGUUGUAAUUUGCAGAGGGCGCUUUGGCGUUGGCAGCGGUCCAAGUUCUUUGGAACAGGACGUCACAGAGGGUGAGAAUCCCGUACGUGGUCGCUAUCCUUCGCCGUGUAAAGCCCCUUCGACGAGUCGAGUUGUUUGGGAAUGCAGCUCUAAAUGGGAGGUAAAUUUCUUCUAAAGCUAAAUAUUGGCCAGAGACCGAUAGCGCACAAGUAGAGUGAUCGAAAGAUGAAAAGCACUUUGGAAAGAGAGUCAAACAGCACGUGAAAUUGUUGAAAGGGAAGCGCUUGCAGCCAGACUUGCUUACAGUUGCUCAUCCGGGCUUUUGCCCGGUGCACUCUUCUGUAGGCAGGCCAGCAUCAGUUUGGGCGGUAGGAUAAAGGUCUCUGUCACGUACCUCUCUUCGGGGAGGCCUUAUAGGGGAGACGACAUACUACCAGCCUGGACUGAGGUCCGCGCAUCUGCUAGGAUGCUGGCGUAAUGGCUGU
rnacentral:rRNA from 1 species